ensembl:snoRNA
GUUGGUUGAAAAUCACCCCCGGCUUUGGCCGUGGCUGCGGGUGAGAUUCGGCGCCCAGAGCCUCCGGGGGCCUCAGCUCACCGCGCGCUGCCCCAUGUGCGGCGGUGAAACCCAGGCCCCGACAGGC